GGUUGAGUGGCGAGGUGCAUCAGAUCGGUCUUGAAAACCGAAAUUUAUAAAAAUACCGGGGGUUCGAAUCCCUCUCCAUCCG
rfam:Nicotiana attenuata strain TT chromosome 3, whole genome shotgun sequence.